CUAUUCAUCGCUUUUCUUCUUCCUUUUUGGGAACACUAGUAGUUUCAACCGAAAAAACCCCCAAUUCCUUUUCGAUCGCUUUUCUCAGCAGCUCUGUAAUCGAGGAUGGGCCAUGGAAGCUCCAGAGAUGAAGCUCAGGAUGACUCAGCGGAUUCCUCCGGCUCCACAACUUCCAGAGUUCAGCGGCUCCGGCAGCGCCUCAACCGCCACCGCCCCCAUUUCCGCCGCCUCCACCGCGCCUCCGGUUCUGCCUCGCAGCUGAAGAAAUUGCUCAAGGAGGAGGACUUCGCCGGCAUCGCCCUCCUCUGCCUCAUCGGCGCGGAGAUGAGGAUCAAGGAUAAAUGGCUGGCAUGCGUUUCUCUCGGCGAGCAGACCUUCCGAACUGCCAUUUCUGAUCAAACCGAUCAGCCUGUCUGGAACUCUGAGAAAAAGCUUCUUUUGGAAAAAAAUGGGGCACGUGUUGCAAGAAUCUCUGUAUUUGAGACUAAUAGAUUGUCGAAGAACAAUCUUAUUGGUUACUGUGAGAUUGAUCUGUAUGAUUUCCUUACUCGGGAUUCAGAUUCCGAUAUAGAUGUAUAUGACCUAUUAGAUCCAACUUCUGCUGGAGGAAUUGUUGGCAAAAUAAGAUUGUCAUGUUCCAUUGAGGAUCCAAUGGAAACAGAAAAGAGUUUUGUGCGGCGGAUUUUGUCUGUUGUGGAUUAUGAUGAAAGUGGAAAUCUUUCAUAUGAUGAAUUCUCAAACCUAAUAGAUGCAUUUGGCAAUCAACUGGCUGCUACAAAGAAAGAGGAACUUUUCAAAGCUGCUGACGAGAAUGGGGAUGGAGUUGUCAGCAUAGAUGAGUUGGCUAUGCUUUUAGCUGUUCAGCAAGAAAAGGAUCCGCUUAUCAAUUGUUGUCCUGUCUGUGGAGAAACUCUUCACAUCUCAGAUAAGUUGAAUGCUAUGAUUCAUUUGACCCUUUGUUUCGAUGAAGGAACUGGAAAUCAGAUUAUGUCCGGAGGAUUCUUGACUGACAAGCAGGCUUCAAAUGGAUGGAUGUUCAAAGUAAGUGAAUGGGCUCAUUAUUCAUCUUAUGAAGUUGGAUUGAGGUCUGGGUCAAGUGCUUCACAUAUCCUGGUUUUUGAUAGGCGAACGAAAAGAUUAGUGGAGGAAACAAUUGAUGGCAAGAUUGUGCUAUCUAUGAGAGCCAUAUAUCAAUCUAAAGUUGGGCUUGGACUCAUGGACAAAGGGGCGAAGGAACUCCUGCAGAGCAUCUCCGAAAAGCAGGGCAGGAAAAUGGAUUCACCCGAAUCUGCUAAGGAUAUUGAAAAGUUUAUUUCUUUGUUUAAGGAUCAAUUAAACUUGUCUGAAAUCAAAUAUCCUUUAGAGCAGUUUAAGACAUUCAAUGAAUUCUUUAUAAGAGAGUUAAAACCUGGUGCGAGGCCAAUCACCAAUGCUGGAUGUGAUGAUGUUGCAGUAUGUGCUGCUGAUUGUCGGUUGAUGGCAUUUGAAACUGCUGAAGAUUCUACGAGAUUUUGGAUUAAGGGUCGGAAAUUUUCUGUACAAGGCCUUUUAGGGACUGAAGUGUGCUCUGAUGCCUUCAGUGGUGGAAGUUUAGUUAUAUUCCGCUUGGCACCACAGGACUAUCAUCGCUUCCAUGUUCCUGUUUCUGGAACUAUUGAAAAGUUUGUGGAGAUACCUGGAUGCUUAUACACGGUUAACCCAAUUGCAGUGAACAGCAAGUACUGCAAUGUGUUCACUGAGAAUAAGCGCGUUGUAUCUACAAUAUCAACCAAAGAAUUUGGGAAGGUAGCUUUUGUUGCUAUAGGAGCAACCAUGGUUGGUAGCAUUAAUUUCACCAAAAAAGAGGGUGACUACGUCAAUAAAGGAGACGAGUUCGGAUACUUUUCAUUUGGCGGAAGUACAGUCAUUUGUGUCUUUGAAAAGGAUACCAUCAAGAUAGAUGACGACCUCCUGGAGAAUAGUUCAAGACACCUUGAGACGUUGGUUUCUGUGGGGAUGCAAUUGGGCGUGUCCAUCAAAAAACGCUAGGCUAGAGAGAGGUCGCUUAAGGCAGAACCUUGCAUUAUUUGGGCGUGCAAGGGAAUGCCAGCCAACCUUGUACCAUUACCAUUGAUCGAUAAUUCGAUACAAUGAGAUUCAAAACCAAAUAAUCAAAUUGGAGUUUUGGCUGAGUGAAGCAUCUAAAGUAAAGAUACACCUCAAUUGCAUCAA